rnacentral:misc_RNA from 1 species
UCCGGUUUAACACCGGCGGUCUCCAUAGAGUGCCCAACUAAAUGAUGGCAACUAGGGAUAAGGGUUGCGCUCGUUAAGGGACUUAACCCGACAUCUCACGAUACGAGCUGACGACAGCCAUGCAGCACCUGUCUCACUGCCUCCGAAGAGGAAGCCGUAUCUCUACGGCCGUCAGUGGAUGUCAAGUCCAGGUAAGGUUUUUCGCGUUGCAUCGAAUUAAACCACAUGCUCCACCGCUUGUGCGGGCCCCCGUCAAUUCCUUUGAGUUUUAAUCUUGCGACCGUACUUCCCAGGCGGGGUACUUAAUGCGUUUGCGUCGACACUGCAGGGGUCAAUUCCUGCAACAUCUAGUACCCAUCGUUUACAGCGUGGACUAC